GGAAACCAUAGCCCCACUGCGCAAACUCCACAAGUCCAGGCAGGCCCAGAGCUGCUGGACUGGACUGUCUCUGUGGGAUACGGUCAAGGGCCAGUGGGAGCUGGAGUCCUGUCCCAUCCUGAAGCAAUGUUCAGAAGGGAGAAGCCAAAUGUGGAUGAUCUGCUCACUGAUCGUGCGUGAGCUUCGAAAUGCUGGCUUGAUAGCUCUCCAUGCUGUGGGGGAUGGAGAAGGUCAACUGGCACGCAUGCAGGGCAGGCAGUGCCGGCUGCUUCUCACUUAUGACUGGACAAAAUCCUCAGCGGCUCUGCUUUAGUUAGUUCUUGUUGUCGUUUGUUUGUUUAUUUGUAAAGGAAAAUGUUGAGCAAGCAUUGGUCUCUCACA
rnacentral:lncRNA from 1 species